CGCGUAGCUCAGUUGGAAGAGCAUUGGGCUAGUAUUCCAAAGGUCGUAGGUUCGAAUCCCACCGUGGCC